rnacentral:rRNA from 1 species
AUGGUUUGGAAGGUCUGGGGUCCCCCCAAAGUAAAGUUCUUUGCUUGGUUGGCACUUCAAGAUAGAAUUUGGACCGCAGACAUAUUAGCCAAGAGAGGAUGGCCAAAUUGUGGUUUGUGUCCACUUUGCAAGAGGGUGCAAGAAAGCGGGUCACACCUAUUUUUCAAGUGCCGCUAUACUCUAAGGCUGUGGGCGUUGGUCAUCGAAAAAUUUCACAUCUUCGGGUUGGACACCUCUUCAUGGUGCUUGUUGGACUCCGUCAACGCUUGGUGGACAAGCACUUGUGACGCCGGCACGCCAAAACGUCAAGCCAAAGCCUCCCUCACCAUGCUUGUGACAUGGACAAUUUGAAAUGAGCGAAAUGCAAGAGUGUUUAGGUUUAAAAGCGCUCCACCGACUAUCUUGCUUAACACCAUCUCGACCGAGGCCAACCUUUGGGUCACCGCCGGUGCAAAAAAAUUAGAGUCUUUCAUAUCACGAGAGUAA